rnacentral:rRNA from 1 species
AUUGAACGCUGGCGGCAUGCCUUACACAUGCAAGUCGAACGGCAGCAUGAUCUAGCUUGCUCGAUUGAUGGCGAGUGGCGAACGGGUGAGUAAUACAUCGGAACGUGCCCUGUAGUGGGGGAUAACUAGUCGAAAGAUUAGCUAAUACCGCAUACGACCUGAGGGUGAAAGUGGGGGACCGCAAGGCCUCAUGCUAUAGGAGCGGCCGAUGUCUGAUUAGCUAGUUGGUGAGGUAAAGGCUCACCAAGGCGACGAUCAGUAGCUGGUCUGAGAGGACGAUCAGCCACACUGGGACUGAGACACGGCCCAGACUCCUACGGGAGGCAGCAGUGGGGAAUGUUGGACAAUGGGCGAAAGCCUGAUCCAGCAAUGCCGCGUGUGUGAAGAAGGCCUUCGGGUUGUAAAGCACUUUUGUCCGGAAAGAAAUGGCUCUGGUUAAUACCUGGGGUCGAUGACGGUACCGGAAGAAUAAGGACCGGCUAACUACGUG